GAUACAGAUACAGAUACAUAUACUAAAACUCGAUACAGAGAAGAUUAGCAUGGCCCCUGCGAAAGGAUGACACGCAAAUCCGUGAAGCGUUCCUUAUUUUC
rnacentral:snRNA from 13 species